AGGGAGAAUGUGUGUCUGUGAGUGUGUGUUGAGUGUGAGUGUGUCUCUGUGUGUGUAGGGGUCGAGGUGGGGGGGGUCCGUGUUUGCGAUCUGAACCUUUGGUACCUACAAGGAGGGUGUCUCACCGAACGGUAGCUAAAACCUCACCAGAACCGCGCGGAAGUGAGAAGUCGCGGCCAAAGGCGCCCGCAGAAGCCUCCUCUCUGGGCCGGACCCCAGCCCGAGCGGCCGAAAGGAGCCCCCCGCCCGGAUCACAGCUGCUGCAGCUGCCGCUGAAAUUCGCUGUGGCCGCUGCCUCUUCCCGCUUUAAUCCCAGACCUCCAGUCAUUGGGCAGCUCCUCAGAGGCAAGAAGUCAACACCAUGGCAACCCGACAAGCCUAUCAAAUCACCGGCUGGCGUGACAGCAGCAACACUGCAGGCAGGAGUGGGCUGGGCGGAAGAGCAGAGUGGCCACUGCGCUCAGAAGUUUACAAGGAAAGGGGAAAUGUCUGAAAUGGAGAUUGCACAAUCCUGUCUUGAAGCAGAAGACUCAGCUAGAGCACAUCUGGAAACACCUGGCACUCCUCAAUAGAAUUCAAAUGCUAUUUUAAAAGAUGUAAAAUCUGAGCUGCAACACUGAACAAAAGCUGUACUUGCCAGCCAGCAAAGAUGCUACCACUCUGCACAACAGAUAAAACCCAUACAUAUAGGGAAGUCAAAAGAGUCUUUAAGCUACAGUGUUUGAGAGGCUGUUUGUCUCUGAUGGAAAAUUAAGAAAAUGAGUCCAUUUCUAAGAAGAUGUGGUUCGAACAUACAGAGCUACAUAAUAUGAGUAAAAUAGGACCUAACAGUAGUGUUCUCCAGCAUUGCUCUGCCUUUCCUUUUCUGGAUGUAACAACAUUACUAAGAAAGGAAGAAAAAGCAAAAAUCUGCUCUCGGGGAGAUUCCAGAAUGUUGGAAAGCCCCAAAUGGAAGUCUCUGCUUUGGUUACAGGACAUAAGGUUUAAUAAAUAAAAAGAUGCUCAUCUGGGAUGCUGCACCAAUUAUCAUGUACUAAAUAAGGUUACCUACUUCACUCUCCAGGUAGAAAUGUCUAUCAUAAGCAUGUGCCACAGAAGGUCUCUCAAGUAUCAUUAUUGGCUGUGUUGAAUUUUGUUUUUAGUUCUCUUUUAUAAGGUCUGUAGUCUUACUUUCAGUGAGGAAGUGUUUUCUCAGGUUCUCAAGAAAGUAACAAAAUGCCAGCAUUGUCAAGGUCACCAUUGCCACUGAAUUAUCUUACUGUCUGAUUAUUCCAUCUUCCUCUGCAUCAUAUUAGCCUGAUGACUACAUUCUAAUUAUUUAAAGCGUUAUGUAAAUCAAAGCAGUAAAUGUAAUUUCUAGUCUUACUAGAUAUCAUGUACAUUAGGUCGAAUAACUCUAGAAAUGUCGUCAUAAUCAUGUCAUGCCUAAUGAUGACCUACUCAGCCCCUGCCAACAUCAUUCAAUUACUCAUUUCAGUAUUGAUUUUUCUCAUGCCUCUCUUCGUGGCAUUUAAACAGCCCUCACAUCUCCCCUUUUACUGAGGUGUAAUGUUGUAUAAUGACAGAGAUGCUUUGCUUCCCAGAUUCAUAAUGUUACACUCUGUUUCAAAUCCUUUUGGAGACAAAUUGGGGAAUCAAUAUAUAAAUAAUGACACACUUAUUUUUAAUUAAAAUCACUGCUUUCACAGAAAUGGUAUAUUAAAAUUAUUUUUGCUAAAAAAAUUUUAAAUACCUAUGUACGAUAAAAAGACUGCCAAUCCUUGGGAUCAAGAAUAUAAUUUGCCCCAAAUAACUUUUCUGUAAAAGUAGAAUUCUUAAUGGAAAAU
ensembl:lncRNA ZFHX4-AS1 ZFHX4 antisense RNA 1